AUCCAGGUGACUGACUUAAGCGUUCUAAAACACUGUUAAAGCUUUCCUUGCAAGUUUACUCAGCUUCAUUAAAAGAAAGAAAAAAAAAAAGGCACACGUUUCUCAGACUCGCUAGUAGGAGCGGUCGCCUAUUUCCCCUCCGAGAGAAGCGCCUGCGCGCGGUUUCCCGCCCGCCUGAGCACGCCCCGGCUUCACGGCGGCAGCGCCGGCGUCCGGGCGCGGCCGCAACGGCAGCCCGCGCUGACACUGCGGGCUAGGCGCGCCGCCACGAUGAGCUCCGUCUCGCCGUCCGUCGAGUGGACGUAACGCAAUCGAUCCGGAGACACGGCGACGCGCGCCUAGUUAACGCUCUGCGCAGCUCUCCAGUGACGCGACCGAAGAAAACAAGCAACACCGGCCUCUUGACCUCGCUCCCCGCCAGUGAACCCCCCAACCCUACGCAGGAACAGGUGGUCUGGAAGAGGACAGAGGUUGAGGACAGUCGCUGGCUGCCAGAGAGACAUGACAGGUGUGGCACCUGGAGAGAGGGAACAGGGUUGGAGUGAGGCCUCCCUGCCCUGCUAGGCCCUGCCACUGCUGAGCUUCUGUGACGAGGAAUUUAGACCUCUUCACGUUCUAAAUGAAGGACUUACCACUGAAUGAAAGUAGAUUUCUCCUGCAUUGUGAACCAAGCCGUACCCCGCUUGGGGUAGUGAAUGUGUUCCCGACAGCAACAGCAAGCGCCAGUGUGCGGGACCUGCUCAGCACACCCGUGUCCCGGCUCUCAGGCCUGUGCCUCCCGGACGUUGGUCCUGCCCCUCUGCCCCCUGUGAGCUCCUCUGCAAGCAGCUGCUGGUAUUCUCCACCGCCCAGUAUGCUGGGCCAUCCCCCGGCAAGGCAGAGCUCCCUGUACGCUUUCCGUGGCACAGAGGGAUGAGGAGUACACAAAAAAUUAAAAGCCAAAGAUAAUAUCCAGCCCACGCUUCAGACGACAGUCUGAACCUUUUCCUUUCUGACUGGACCCGUAUAACGAAAGUGGUAACAUACUGUUCUGUCCCCAGCCAUCGACCAAAGAGAACUGUGUCUGUAUUGGCGCAAAAGAUGUGUAAGAGGACAUUCACAUCGGUGUGUGUGAAAUGCCUGUCCACGGUAUAAAUAGACACAUAAAUAGUGGCAUAUUUAUGUCAUGAAGUACAGCAGAGCAAUGAAAAUCUACUCACAGAUAAUACUGCACAAAAGAAGACAGACACAAAAGAAUAAAUACUGUAUGAUUUCAAUUAUAUGGGCAAACAGUAAUCUAGGGGUGGAGAUGAGACUGGGACAGGACAAAAAGAAGACUUUGGGGUGCUGGCAAUAAUUGAAUUUACUUUUUAACCUGUGUGAUAAUACAGGUGUGUUCCCUUUGUGACAGUUCAUCCGGUUUUUCAUUUAUGAUUUGUUUACUUUCCUGUACGUGUGGUUUUUUUUUUUUAAACCUGUGCAGGUCUUGAAUAAGUACCUGAAUUAAAGGAGUACCUGAAUUUGAAGGAAAAAAGUAGUGAUAACAAAGUAUAGCCAGUUGAUUUGAGUAAGAACUUAUUUUUGUGCUCCUGGUGGAGUUUGAGCAGUGACAUACUAAAAAUAAAUAUCAAUGGUCCCUGAAAAAUCAAGAGUUGACUAUACUGCUGUUGGUUUAAAUAUACGCAGAUAGAUAGAUAGGUGAUAGAUAAGUUCUCUGAACUUGAAGGAGAUUGUUGAUCCUUUUCUGUUUCUGUAACUUUUGCCCCCUGUCCUGAAUCACGUCCACACCUCCACAGCCCCCAGCCCCCAGCGCCCCCCGUGAACUAGUAUCUUUGCUUCUUUGUCCCUGGCGGUGGCACUGGAGUGGAAAGUCAAACCGUAGGAGGUUAGCUGUGAAGUAAAGCAAUGAAGAGGAAAACAGUACAAUGUAAACAUGGGGGUUGAUUUUCAACAUUGUGUUUUUAUUGAAUUCCUACUUUUCCAUAAAGUAAUUCCUUCCAAGCUUGGCCACGUUUUUUCAGAGCCCAGAUGUGUGAGGCGGUGUUGAUUUGCAUUAUUAUGCUUUACAUAUAUGUGUCAUGCAGCAUAUCCAUCCCGCUAACAGAGACACUCGAAUGCACACGUACGAAUGACAGGUUUUCGCCUGUGCAUAUGCUUUCUUUCCAAUAAACAACAGCUUUUCAAACUGUAGACUUGUGAGGCUCCCUAACAAAGUUUUGUUUGAGAACUAGUGGAGACUAUCUCUCUAAUGCUGUAAUUAUAAUUUUAUCCUAGAAAUUUAUAUGCUCUGCUUGCUGUUUUCAAAUUGUGGAAGAAAACUUCAGUGACUGCUGUUAGCCCUUUCACGCAUGCCAUUUGUGUUUCGGAUGUGUUUAAAUGUCAUUGUCACUGCUGUUAAUUGGCCUUCUCUUUGUAAGCUUGUAUUUGUCAGAACACAUUUAGAAGGAGGUUUUCAUGCUUUAUGAAAAUCAGUUUUGAACCAGAAUUGACAGAUCCUAUUUUCCUUGGUUACAGUGCUGGCUGGCUCGGAAGUACCAGUUCUCUUCCACUGUCUAAUGGAAGAGCGACCAGCCAUGGUGUGACAAGACACAACAUGGGUUAAUAGCCAGGAAAAAAAUUAAACCGUCCAGUUUAAUCGUUUUUGCAUAAACGUGCUGCUAACUACUGACUCUAAAUUUGGCAGCAAUUUUUCUAGUAAAUAUAAUUUCAGACCAGAAACUACAGUGUAAAGUAGAACAUCAUCCAAAUAAAGGAGAUGCAAUGCAUUGCUGUACAGCCCUGGCCGCCUCCGACCCCAUGGGUUUUGGCAUGCUUUAAGAGAAAUAAGAGUUAAAUUAAUUCUCACAGAAUUGAGAAUGUUCUUCCUGAACAAGACCAGGCAGCUUCCCACAUCAAACAGAGAGGCAAGCUUUUUGCGUUUUUAGCUGAUUUCCUAUACUUACAGAAUUUUCACAUUGCUUUCCUUUCUUGGUUUACACACCAUAAUUCUUUCCUUUCAAAAUGUCUAGUUUCCAAACUCACCAAAUUGUAUACAUUAAAUGUGUGCAAUUUUUGUAUUCAAUUCUACCUCAGUAGAGCUGGCAGUACUUUUUAAUGUCUAAGAUGUCUGUUUCACUGGUGCUAGAGGCAGUUGAAUUCUAACAAGCACUUUCAUAAAAAGGUUUGUUUUCUGCACAAAACUAAUCGUCUAGCCACUAAUUCAGAGAGGUCCUGUGUACACGCAUUUUGCAGCAGUCCGAGCUUGCUUUUCAAAUCAACAAGUAUAGACGCAGUGCCUCACAGUCUGGGCAUUACUCUUUUUCCCUACAGGUCCUCUCUUUGUCUCUAUAAAUUAAGCUUAUCUGCCAUUAAAGACAUUCUA